UCCAACCUUUUGUAUUUAUCUAAGAAUAUUUAGUAGUUGAGGAACCAUUUUAUUUCAUAUCUGUCCAUAAACUCCCUAUUCUUCUACUCCUCAGAAACAAAGAAGAAUAACUAUCUACCUCUCUCUCUUUCUAUCUCUAUCUUUCUAUCUCUAUCUCUUUAUCUCUAUCUCCUACGUAGGAACAAGAAGCUGAAGUUUCAUCAAAAAAAAAAUACCAUGGAUUUCUACUAAAUCAACGCAGAAAAUUCGUUUUUGGUGAAGAUCAAGUUGCUCCUCUUGGUAUAUAAACCCUUGAAAAAAAUCAAAGGGGAAGUGUUUGAGGAAGUGGACAGAUUUGGUUUGUUUACGGCGUAGACGAUUCGAACGUCCCCAAGUUGUGAAUGAACUGUUUUGUGGUAAAACACCAAGGAUUUUUAAUAUGGCCUCUUCUUCGAAUAGAGCUGUUGAAUCCGUUGAUGAAAGUCAGGCCCAGUAUAAUGCCAUGCCUCACCUUCAGGGAGGAAAUG